ACGGAGGUGGCAGGCGUUACUCGGAUUGAUUGGGUGUAAAGGGUGUGUAGGCGGUAUGCUAAGUCGAAGGUGAAAUACCUUGGCUCAACCAAGGAACUGCCUUCGAAACUGGCAUGCUUGAGUGAUGGAGAGGAAAAUGGAAUUCCCGGUGUAACAGUGAAAUGUGUAGAUAUCGGGAGGAACACCAGUGGCGAAGGCGAUUUUCUGGCCAUCUACUGACGCUGAGACACGAGAGCUAGGGGAGCAAACAG
rnacentral:rRNA from 1 species